GUCAAGCUCCUAAGGACAAACGAUCGCUUAAUUGCAGAGUUUGUGGGCCGAGGUGCGCGCCAAGCACACUUUAUUGUGCAGGAAAGGCUGUUGAGUAAGACGCUGUGAUAGUGCCCUGGCCAAUAAGUCAUUAAGCAGAAAUUAAAAGCGGAAAACUUUCAAGUGCCUUCUCUCUAACGUGUAUUAACCUCUUAAAGGCGGAGUGGGAAGAGUCUGAGCCCGAGAGGAAAGCACUGACCGCUGGAGAAGGUUUCCUCAGAGGAGGGGGACCCAAGAAGGGGCCGGCUUUAGGGUCCCCAGGGGGCUCCUGGCUGCCCCUGCGGAAGGAGGCACAGACACCGCAGGGCGUCCUCACUGUGCUCUUCCCUGAGCUGUCACAUCUUGGCGACCUAUGGGGCCUGUUACUAUCACCCGGUGAGAGGCGCCAGGCCUCCGACUUGCGUCCUUCCCAGCUGACCAGGAACCCUGCUGCUGAGACCUGGGACCGAGCGCAGACUGGAGCUCGAGUUCUAUCAGGCAGUGUGAUACUCUGUGAGGGACCCGAGUACGGUUUCUUCCUGCUGUGGGUAAGCAAGAGAGUAACCCAGGAACUCUGAAUAAUGGCCCUUCGAGAAAUCGCUGCUUGCAACGGUAUGACGGAAAAUAAAUCCAAGGCAAGUGAAUAAAAGACUGGAAAUUUCAACUUGACUUUACCUCUAGUUCUAUUGACUGCUCUACCGCUGUGGACAGGACAGUCCACCCUGAACUGUCCUUUUCCUUUCUGAAGCUGCACUUACCCAUCAGACAUGAGUGAAGUAACUUCCAGACUUCCUAACUCCUGGACCCCAGAAUCCUACCCACCCCCCUGGGGUCACCAAAAGCUUCAGUAUGAUGCUUCUUCUCAUUCACCCUAAGCCUCUGCUGAUCUACUUUCCUGUUACUGAGCACAGCCAGCUGUUUUUCAUGUGUGAAGAGAAGUGAAGAAAUCAUUUGCUGAGUUCCCAAGUGCAAAGGUUUUCAUAUGAGUUACGGAAACCCUUUGCACUAUUUAUUUAUUAUCUUUAUGAAUUCAUGUUGCAUACUUUGUAAAUUCUUGGUGGAAAGUGCAUGUCUUCAGUUGUCUUUUGUGUCAACUUGUAAAUAAGAGAAGCUGGACUCAAAUUCCUAUUUUCUGACUUUGAUUCCACAGUAUUUCCACCAAUCACACUGUCUAACACAGGAAGGAAAAGAGCUACUGCCUCUUGAGUGUGAAUUAACACAUUCUUAUAAUAACACUUGAAAAAUUCCUUGUCUUCUCCGCCCUUUAGUAAUUCCCCUCUUCUCUUAGGAAGCCUAACAAGCAACCAACCCAACACAGGAAACGAAGAAACAUCUUUGGCCCAAUUUGCUCUUUAUAAGACCAGAAAACCAUGACAUAUCUAUCAGAAAAUGCAAUUACUUUCCAUUCCUGUACAUAGGUGUAUUUCAAAGGUAACUUCAUUUUGCGGGAGCAGUGCUUUUGGAACAAACACUGUGUUCUAACAUGAAACCAAGCUCUACCAGGGGAGAAACGACAAGGGAGUAAAGGUGUUCUGUGAGAAAUAUAUCAUCAGUGUGCUGUUUUUGAGAGUUCCUUCUAAAGUGAGCAGUGGUUUGUUUUGUGGAAUUGAAGCACUGAUAUAAAGAUUAUUUUCCCUAACAUUAAAAAAGGGAGUAUAACAUUUGAAAUAAGAAAGCAAGGGUAUUUCAAAGCUAUUCAACAUCAGGGCAAUAAUGGAAGUUAGUAGACAGGAUGUGUGAGUAAUGUCGUAAACUGUGGUUAAAAUGAUUCCGUAUGUGAAUCUUCUUUGGAUCUGAAAGGGCAGUUUUUUCACAUGAUUACAAAAGACCCAACUUUAAAAAGAGAUUAAGUAGAUGGUCACUUGUUUUGGGAGGCUUGCUAAAUGAGAGAAAUCCAUUCCUGGAGGAAUGGAAUCAUUGAUUUAAAAGGGUGCAAAAAUCCUUAGAGAAUAUCCCUUAAAAUUUUGUUUUCAAAACACUAGGCAUAACCUUUUAGUCAGGCAUGAAAUCUAUUCAAUGCCAGUAUAAAACCAAGUAGAAGAGAACAGGAAAAAACAUUACAAAUUGCAAUGCACACAGUAAAAUUAGAUACUGUUUCAUGAAAAUUUUGUUUCACACACACACGUUAUUUUAUUUAAAAUGUAUUUCUUGUAACCAAGUGAUGGAGGGACAGGGGGAUGGAGGGAAGGAGAAAGGGAUGAAAAAAGAAUUAAGUUGUGUUAUGUGUCUGUACCAACUCCCCAUGAGGAAUGUAGUCAUGAUGUACUGGAAACACAUACUAAUAAAAGUAACUGAGAAAAAGAAAAUGUGUAUGUUUCCUCAAUGAAGUAUUCCUCUGCUAUAAAGAAAGAUAAAUCGAGUCACUUGUAGGAAAAUGGAAGCAACUUGAGACCAUAAUGUUAAGUGAAAUAAGUCAGACACCC
ensembl:lncRNA